rnacentral:rRNA from 1 species
UACGACUACAUAUCAGGCAUAUCAAUAAGCGGAGGAAAAGAAACUAACAAGGAUUCCCCUAGUAACGGCGAGUGAAGCGGGAAGAGCUCAAAUUUGAAAUCUUAAAGGGUUUCCCUUUACGAAUUGUAGUUUAAAGAAGUGUUUUCUGUUAGGAGUUUCGGUAAAAGUUCUUUGGAAUAGGGACAUCAUAGAGGGUGAGAAUCCCGUAUUUGACCGUUAUCUUUCCAGCUGUGUGAUACACUUUCAAAGAGUCGGAUUGUUUGGGAAUGCAGUCCAAGAUGGGUGGUAAAUUUCAUCUAAAGCUAAAUAUUGGCGAGAGACCGAUAGCGAACAAGUGCCGUGAGGGAAAGAUGAAAAGAACUUUGAAAAGAGAGUUAAACAGUACGUGAAAUUGUCAAAAGGGAAGCGUUUGACACCAGUGUUGUUUAGUUGAAAAUCAAUUCAAGAGUGUUUUGAUUCUAGUAGUAUUGACUUCAUCAGCUUGCUGCAUUUCUUCUCAGAAAUUAUUGAAUGCACUUUUCAGUUAACAAGUCAACAUCAAUUUCUUUUGUUGUAAAAGGGUAUAGGAAGGUGGCUUGCUCUUCGGCUCAAGUGUUUAUAGCCUUUUAUACUCUGCAAUCGGAGAGAUUGAGGUCUGCAGCGUAGAUCCUUCGGGGUUAGAUACAUUGGUGCUAAGCUAUAGCCUUGUAUAGACAACUUGUUGACUAUGCUCAGUCAUGUAGCUUACUCGCUGAUGCUAUUUUACCUACGCUUAGGAUGUUGAUCUACAGAGCGAGAGU